ACGGAAGGCAGCAGUGGGGAAUAUUGCACAAUGGGGGAAACCCUGAUGCAGCGACGCCGCGUGAGUGAAGAAGUAUUUCGGUAUGUAAAGCUCUAUCAGCAGGAAAGAAAAUGACGGUACCUGACUAAGAAGCCCCGGCUAACUACGUGCCAGCAGCCGCGGUAAUACGUAUGGUGCAAGCGUUAUCCGGAUUUACUGGGUGUAAAGGGAGCGUAGACGGCUGUGCAAGUCUGAAGUGAAAGCCCCGGGCUCAACUCGGGAACUGCUUUGGAAACUGUGCAGCUAGAGUGCAGGAGAGGUAAGUGGAAUUCCUAGUGUAGCGGUGAAAUGCUUAGAUAUUAGGAGGAACACCAGUGGCGAAGGCGGCUUACUGGACUGUAACUGACGUUGAGGCUCGAAAGCGUGGGGAGCAAACAGGAUUAGAUACCCUGGUA
rnacentral:rRNA from 1 species